rnacentral:lncRNA from 1 species
AUGUUCCCAGUGGAGGAGCUGGCCUGUGUCGGGCAGGGGUCGGCCUCUGGGUCCCGAGACCUGCUGAGACCCCAGGAAAGGAAGGAAAGGGAGCCGUCAUGUCAGGGAUCAGCCAGAGGCCGCCCCACCUUCCCCGACGCCCAGCCGCCUGUGACAGCUGCAGAGUGUGAUGAGACGCCUGCAGGGGGCUCUGGCCGCCCCAGACCCCCAGACUUGUAUGAGCAUAGAGCAGGCCUCGGAGAAGGCUUGGGAAGAGCGUCUUGUCUACGGGCUGAGACAGGGCAGGCCUCCUGGCUGCGGCUCUCCUGUCCAGCGGCGCCAGCGGCGAUCAGUUGGGACUGGCCACCUGGCCCUGCCCACCUCAUACCUCCUCCCACCGCAUGUCCCCCUCCCCGCCCCCCGACCAGCCCCACUGCUCACCCUGGCAGUCAGACCCCAGCCCCAAGGACCCCCUGCCGGAGACGACAGCUGGACAGGCCAGGUCGGCGCAGGCCCAUGACGGCGGGCCACGUGGCCAGUCUUCUCUGCUGCUGGGCUCUGCACCACGUCCGCCCCAUCCCCCGUGAUGCAGGCUAGCCUCCCUCUCAGGCCCACAGGGAGCUGGUCCCAGAAGACAGGCCCCUAAGGGCCCUGGGGGAGUUGUUUCUCCAGGAAACAUGCGAGGAGCCGGGCGGUGUUGCCAGCCCUUAGGAUACAUCAGCGAUGAGAGACCACACCCCAUCCACAUGGUCCACGUUCUCCUG